rnacentral:rRNA from 1 species
GACGAACCGUCCAAACGUUAUUCGGAAUCACUGGGCUUACAGAGUUCGUAGGCGGUCUGGUAAGUUGGGUGUGAAAUCCCUCGGCUCAACCGAGGAACUGCGCUUGAAACUACCAGACUCGAGGGAGAUAGAGGAAAGCGGAACUGAUGGUGGAGCGGUGAAAUGCGUUGAUAUCAUCAGGAACACCGGUGGCGAAGGCGGCUUUCUGGGUCUUACCUGACGCUGAGGAACGAAAGCCAGGGGAGCGAACGGG